rnacentral:rRNA from 1 species
GAUGAACGCUAGCUACAGGCUUAACACAUGCAAGUCGAGGGGAAACGAUAUUGGAAGCUUGCUUCCGAUAGGCGUCGACCGGCGCACGGGUGAGUAACGCGUAUCCAACCUGCCCACCACUUGGGGAUAACCUUGCGAAAGUAAGACUAAUACCCAAUGAUAUCCCACGAAGGCAUCCGAAUGGGAUUAAAGAUUUAUCGGUGAUGGAUGGGGAUGCGUCUGAUUAGCUUGUUGGCGGGGUAACGGCCCACCAAGGCGACGAUCAGUAGGGGUUCUGAGAGGAAGGUCCCCCACAUUGGAACUGAGACACGGUCCAAACUCCUACGGGAGGCAGCAGUGAGGAAUAUUGGUCAAUGGACGGGAGUCUGAACCAGCCAAGUAGCGUGCAGGACGACGGCCCUAUGGGUUGUAAACUGCUUUUAUAGGGGGAUAAAGUGUGCCACGUGUGGCAUAUUGCAGGUACCCUAUGAAUAAGGACC